AUGAGGUUCCCUGCUCAGCUUCUGGGUCUGCUGAUACUCUGGAUCCCAGGAGCUAAAGGAGAAGUUGUGCUGACUCAGAAUCCACUUUCCCUGACUGUUGUCCCCGGAGAAGCAGCCUCCAUUUCCUGCAAAUCUAGUGAGAGUCUGCUUUACGAUGAUGGAAAAAUCUAUCAAGAGUGGUUCCAUCAGAAACCAGGUCAGCCUCCAAGGCUCCUAUUCUAUCUAAUAUCCAAUCGGGAACCUGGAGUCCCAGACAGAUUCAGUGCCAGUGGUUCAGAGACAGAUUUCACUCUUAAAAUAAGUAGGAUAGAGCCGGAGGAUGUUGGAGUUUACUACUGUUGUCAAGUUACAAAGUAUCCUCACACAGUGAUACAGACCUGA